UCCCAUUCCCUCAGCCGCCGCCACUCCUAUCCUUCUCUGCCGCUCCACACCAGAACCGGAGACAGCACAGAACCACCCUGACCUCUCCCUAUCCGCCACUCCGUGCCCGCCUCCAUCCAUCAUCUGUCCUCUUCCUUCUCCGUGUCCGGUGAACAAGCACGGCGAGCUCCGAAGCUCACCUCCUACGACGCGGAGGCGCGCGUGGGUGGGGCUCCUGAGAUCCGUGGUAGUGUCGACCAGACGGCAACGACGGCGGCGUCCGCGAAGAUGCGAGAUCCGUCAUCACGGCGGCGUCCGCGAAGAUGCGAGAUCCAUGGUGGUGGCGUGCCGAGGUGAGGUACAUGAUGUGGCGACACCGCCACAGAUCCAAAGUACAGCCCUUGUGGCUGGGUCCAGUUAUCCGUCAGCCACGCCGCCGUCGGUCCCCUCGUCGUUGCGGAUGUCUUCUCCAUACGUGGUGAGUAGCCUCCACUCGCCGCUAUUCACUUUCUCCGGCCGGAAAGACCAAGUAUGUACAUCCGCAUCGUCCCUUACCCUCCCGCCCCCUCUGUUCAUCUCCAUGGAUGGAUGUAGCCGUUCUUGGUAGAGGACGGCUGCAGGCUUCGUUGGCCAGGCUGAAUCGGUACAGGCAAAAAAUCUGGGCAUCUGCCAUGUCCGUCAUUAAAACGAAUAGCAGAAGGCACGAGCACCACUUCCUGGGCUGCUUGUUCAUUACUGAUUAUCUGUGCUUUGUAGAUGUAGGCUGUUCUGCUUCCUUCCUAAUUACAUUGUGCCGCACAUUCAUCUUUUGUACUGGAAACGAAAAGUAUUAGGUAAAUUUCUGUUCUUGUUGCAGUUCAGGCAUUGCUUUGUAGUUGUACACUGCUAAUUCAGAAGUCUGAUGUAUGUUGUCUGAUUUUUUGAAGAGUAAUUGCCCACAGCAUUUAUUUGCCAGCUUUUACAAUUGAGAAACUCAUACCAUUUUAUACCUAAAUGAAGAAAAACUGAUAUCUGCAGAUUCUGUAGGUACAUGCUAUUUCUUAUCUGCAGUUUUAUUGCAUGUAUUUUGUUGAGAAAAAGUGCCAUGCCUGCCACCUCCCACGUCCUCCGCCUCAUCAUCCCCGGCGAGCUUGCCAAGAACGCCAUUCUUGAAUAUCUAUGAAGUUUGGAUAGUGCACUGAAUAUUCAGGUUUUUCGGUGCCAGGUUCAUUUUACUGCAUAGUGUCUAAUCUUCUGCAUGCACAUAAUGGUGAUGGAUCCCAUAUGAGUCAGGGCAUCUAAUGGUCUUUGUACAACUAAUUUUUUUUUACUUAGUGAUAUCUGCACUGCCCUUGCCUACAUAAUUUGCACAUCUCACAUGGACCAGAAACAUUUUUUACUUGGUGAUUAUAUCUACACUGCCUUUUCCUGCACAUGCUCUUUAUGUUAUGCAUACACUUUACUCAAACAUCUAUUUGCCCUUAUGUUCUGCUAUGGCACUCGCUCAAUUUACAUUUGUGAAUUAUGAUUGCUGGAAGUAAACUUGACUGAAAAUACACGUAAUUCAUGCUUGUUCUUCUAACAAAAAAUUCAGCCCAUGCUUAUGUCCCUGUGUCACUGAAGAAGAUAAUUUGGAAUCCAGCUCUUGAGCUUUUUUUGGUUGAGUUACUUCAUGAGCACAACACUUCUUACUGCUGGCUAUUUUUCUUUUCUCAUUGUGCGAGCACUAGCAGUGUAGAAUUUGUGAGAUCUGCUAGUUAGUUAAGCAACUACUAGUUUAAUAAGUAAAUGCCCAUGAGAUGCUCCUGUUGGUACCUUUGAUUUUUCUUCUUUAUGGAGAGAAAGUAAUUCAUUAAUCUCACUGAAUCCAUCUACCAAGAGUAGAUUGUUUGUUAACUAGGCCUGCUAUUACACUGCUUCUCUGUUAUAUAUUAUGUGCAAACUUCCUCUGUGUUAUGUGGUGAAAAUUGCCAUCAUAUCGAUUUCCACACAAUAAGUUGAUGAAUUUAUGCCACAUGAUCUUUGCUCAAUUUAAUAUAUAUCACAAUUUGAUGAUGAAUUUCUUGUUCUCAGUACAUGCCACCAUGUUCAGGAUGUUAUGUACUAAAUACCUCCAUCUAAACAAGUUGUAAAAAUAUUUUUUUCCUGCCCUUUACUCUGUUUUAUUUAUUUAUAUUAGAAAUUGGUGCAGAGUUAGAUAUGUGUAGAGCUUGAAGAUUUGUCCUCUUAAUUACAGAUGGUGCCCAACAUUUGGUAAUCUUAUAAACCUGACCAAAGCUAACUCUUAACUAUACCAGGUAUAUGGUCUUCUCCGUAGCAGCAGUAGUUGAGACAUCAUUAGUAGUGGUUAGGUUUGCACUUAUGGUACGAAAUGAUUCUACAAAGUUUAGUUGACAGGUUUGUAUGGCCUCAACUACUGUUGCUAUAGUACUUAGUUAUGUGAUGUGUGUUUUGUUAUUUUAUCAUUUGAAUUUUAUUUGACACAUUUUUUUGUGUUUUGUUACUUUGUCAUUUGACUUUCAUUACUGCCUUGAUGUCUAAUUCAAUGAUUACCUGACUUCUUAAUAUGGUUGUAUAAAUAAUCCUUCUGUUUUCCCUUAUUCUUCUGGUUUGCAAGCUAACAGUUUAAUUGAUGUUGAGUUUCUUCGCUUAUUGCAGCAGAGGUGAUGGAUUUUGUACAACUGUAUUUCUGGAAAUGCGUGUACACAGAAUUACAAUCUGAAGGAGCGAUGGAAGUGAAGAUUGCGCGCUUUUAUUUAAGAUUACUAAUAGUAAAUGGUAUAUUGUUUUUGCUUCAGAUUUAGGAGUGUUAGAUCGGCUACAUAGUGCAUUUGUUCAGUCUCAAAUUUCUAGUGUUAUUACUAGCAUAUUCUCUAAUUCUUGGUAUUAUUCAACAUCUGCUCUGUCUCAAUUCUGUAUCACAUCUCAUAUUGAAUUGUGGAUCAUCAUUUUGCUUAAAAUGGUGUUGCCUUUGAGUGUUUUGAUUUUAUGCAGGUUUGGCAGUUAAUUUGUGUUCUUGGAGAUUGAACUUUUUCAGCGAGAAUUAUUUGGGUUCGGAAGCUGCCCUGAAGCGGUGGUGAAGUGUUGGAGACUAAAAAUCUGCUAGUAGUGCAUUUUCUUUGAAGCCAUGUUACUCUUUUCUUUAACAAAAAUGCUUAAAGCGCUUUCUAGAUAUGCUUGUGAUGUUUUGAAGUCAUGUUGGAACUCUUUAUUGUCAUGUGAACAAUUGAUAUUUUUGAAUGAAUAUAAUUUGGUUGUCCUAUUGUAAAUUCUGUUGCAUUGAGAAAACAGGCAGGACAAAAAAG
rnacentral:lncRNA from 1 species